rnacentral:rRNA from 1 species
CGUCUUUAGAUAAAUUGAAGGUACUGCCUGCUCAAUGCUUUUAAAAAUGUGAAUAGCCGCAGUAUUUUGACUGUGCUAAGGUAGCAUAAUCACUCGUCUCUUAAUUAGAGGCUGGUAUGAAUGGCAAGACGAGAGAAUGACUGUCUCUUAGAAGAGAAUUGAAUUUCAUUUCUAAAUGAAAAAGUUUAGAUGUAUUCAUAGGACGAUCAGACCCUAUGGAGUUUUAUUGAGUAAACGAUUUAAAUAAUUUUUUGAUUAUAAAAUCGUUUAUGAGAUUUGGUUGGGGCGACUGUGAGUUUUAAAGUAACACUCUUUUAAAUUAAACACUGUUAAGUGGAAGGUUGAUCCCAAAAGAUGGAUUAAAAGUCUAAGUUACCCUAGGGAUAACAGCGUAAUCCUUCUGGAGAGUUCUUAUCGAUAGAAGGGGUUGCGACCUCGAUGUUGGAUUGAGAGAUUGGUAGGGUGCAGCAGCUCUACAGAAAAGUCUGUUCGACUUUUAAAUUCUC